rnacentral:rRNA from 1 species
GAUGAACGCUGGCGGCGUGCCUAAUACAUGCAAGUCGAGCGAACAGAUAAGGAGCUUGCUCCUUUGACGUUAGCGGCGGACGGGUGAGUAACACGUGGGUAACCUACCUAUAAGACUGGGAUAACUUCGGGAAACCGGAGCUAAUACCGGAUAACAUUUGGAACCGCAUGGUUCUAAAGUGAAAGAUGGUUUUGCUAUCACUUAUAGAUGGACCCGCGCCGUAUUAGCUAGUUGGUAAGGUAACGGCUUACCAAGGCGACGAUACGUAGCCGACCUGAGAGGGUGAUCGGCCACACUGGAACUGGGACACGGUCCAGACUCCUACGGGAGGCAGCAGUAGGGAAUCUUCCGCAAUGGGCGAAAGCCUGACGGAGCAACGCCGCGUGAGUGAUGAAGGGUUUCGGCUCGUAAAACUCUGUUAUUAGGGAAGAACAAAUGUGUAAGUAACUGUGCACGUCCUGACGGUACCUAAUCAGAAAGCCACGGCUAACUACGUG